rnacentral:rRNA from 1 species
UACGGAGGGUGCGAGCGUUAUCCGGAUUCACUGGGUUUAAAGGGUGCGUAGGUGGGAAUGUAAGUCAGUGGUGAAAUCUCUGAGCUUAACUCAGAAACUGCCAUUGAUACUAUGUUUCUUGAAUUUUCUGGAGGUCAGCGGAAUAUGUCAUGUAGCGGUGAAAUGCUUAGAUAUGACAUAGAAUACCAAUUGCGAAGGCAGCUGGCUACAGGGAUAUUGACACUGAGGCACGAAAGCGUGGGGAUCAAACAGG